AUUGAACGCUGGCGGCAGGCUUAACACAUGCAAGUCGAGCGGAGAUGAGGUGCUUGCACCUUAUCUUAGCGGCGGACGGGUGAGUAAUGCUUAGGAAUCUGCCUAUUAGUGGGGGACAACAUUCCGAAAGGAAUGCUAAUACCGCAUACGUCCUACGGGAGAAAGCAGGGGAUCUUCGGACCUUGCGCUAAUAGAUGAGCCUAAGUCGGAUUAGCUAGUUGGUGGGGUAAAGGCCUACCAAGGCGACGAUCUGUAGCGGGUCUGAGAGGAUGGUCCGCCAAACUGGGACUGAGACACGGCCCAGACUCCUACGGGAAGCAGCAGUGGGGAAUAUUGGACAAUGGGGGGAACCCUGAUCCAGCCAUGCCGCGUGUGUGAAGAAGGCCUUAUGGUUGUAAAGCACUUUAAGCGAGGAGGAGGCUACUGAGACUAAUACUCUUGGAUAGUGAACGUUACUCGCAGAAUAAGCACCGGCUAACUCUGUGCCAGCCGCCGCCGUAA
rnacentral:rRNA from 1 species